GAACGGGUCUGACCGGUCCGGUGG
rnacentral:siRNA from 1 species